rnacentral:rRNA from 1 species
UACGUAGGGGGCAAGCGUUGUUCGGAAUCACUGGGCGUAAAGCGCGUGUAGGCGGUCUGCUAAGUCUGAUGUGAAAGCCCGGGGCUCACCCCCGGAAGUGCAUUGGAAACUGGCAGACUGGAGUCCCGGAGAGGAGGGUGGAAUUCCUGGUGUAGCGGUGAAAUGCGUAGAUAUCCGGAGGAACACCGGUGGCGAAGGCGGCCCUCUGGACGGUGACUGGACGCUGAGGAGCGAAAGCGUGGGGAGCGAACAGG